rnacentral:lncRNA from 1 species
ACAUGAUGAUUGGGAUUGCAUACAAGUUUGGCCCUUUGCCUUACCUUAGUAAUGGUGAAGAGGGUUAUUCUAGUGGACUUUGGUUUAAGAGGAUAACCUGAAGGUCAAGUUCGGGUAGAAUGAGCCUCCAGGCUAGAUAUGUGAAAUGAGCCUUCGGGUCGGAUAUGAGCCUUUAGGCUGGAUAAGUUGUAAAAUCCUUAUAGGGUUCGAAAAUUGUUGUAUUGAACAUGUAGCAUGUAUAUGAAAGGAACAUGAAAUUUUUGUGAGCAUGAAAUAAAUAAGUGAAAAAAAGGAGAAAUCCGUUCGAUCGUUAUCUC